UGCAGUCGGACGGUAGCACAGAGAGCUUGCUCUUGUGUGACGAGUGGCGGACGGGUGAGUAAUGUCUGGGGAUCUGCCCGAUAGAGGGGGAUAACCACUGUAAACGCUGGCUAAUACCGCAUAACGUCGCAAGACCAAAGAGGGGGACCUUCGGGCCUCUCACUAUCGGAUGAACCCAGAUAUGAUUAGCUAGUAGGCGGGGUAAUGCCCCACCUAGGCGACGAUCCCUAGCUGGUCUGAGAGGAUGACCAGCCACACUGGAACUGAGACACGCUCCAGACUCCUACGGGAGGCAGCGCUGCGGAAUAUUGCACAAUGGGCGCAAGCCUGAUGCAGCCCUGCCGCGUGUAUGAAGAAGGCCUUCGUGUUGUAAAGUACUUUCAGCGGGGAGGAAGGCGAUGCGGUUAAUAACCGCGUCGAUUGACGUUACCCGCAGAAGAAGCACCGGCUAACUCCCUGCCAGCAGCG
rnacentral:rRNA from 1 species